rnacentral:lncRNA from 1 species
CACAAAUAGUACAAUCCAAAAUAUAUAUUAUAUAAACAAUUAAUUAUCUAAACAUUGUACUAAAAUUGUCAUCCGAAGAUAAUGAAAAUGCCAAGUACAAUAGUUCUAUCUAGAAUAAAAAUAGAACAAAAAUAAAAAAUAUAUAUAUAAUCACAAUGUGAUCUUUUGAAAUUCUUCAAGCCACUCAGCAAAUGUAGAAUCAAUCCUUAUUAUUUCUCAGCCUCUGCUGCUUGUGGUAAAGCUUCCUCAACCUUCACCUUCCCAUGAACAAAAUCUAAGAGCAUGAAAAACAUCAAUGCGAUUUUUUUUUUUAAGAAAGAAUGAACUACACAUAUAUAUUCUUGUGGACUAUAUUUCACAUGAUUGUAAGCAUCUAUAAACAGCCACCAGUUAUUUUGAACAAUAUGCCUUCUUAGUUUCAUACAGCCAGAGCAUACUAUAAAGAGGAAGGAAUACCUUAGAACAAAUAUUGUUACGACAACUUCCUCUGGUUUCUGAUAGAAUUCAUGCAUGUGAAACAUACAUAACCAGAACUGAGAAGAGCUAAAAAUGAGAUUUUGCUCAUUAAUGUAUAAAAUUAUGAAAAGUUGUGCAAUAUCUUUGCAAGCCAAAUAAAAUAGAACUAAGAAUUCGACUACUGAAUCUGAUAGAAGAAAUGAUUCAUCGUAUAUAUGUUUUGUGGAAGAAUGGUAAGAGUGAUUAUGUUCCUAAGAAACAUGGAACAUAAUAAAGGAUCUCAAAUAGUUAGUCACAAAGUCAAAACAACUAGCUAUGGCACAAAAAUUAACCAAUAGAGAUAAACUGCUUUGAACUUCAGCAAAUCACAGUCAAGAUGAUGAAAACAAGCUAUUAGAUGGCACUUUGUUUGUUCUCAGUUAGUGGAAACACAACUGAACUGGAAACACAACACAUACCCAAAUAUAUGAUGUUUAAUAAGCUAAUGAGCAACUUAUUAGCAAUGAAUCUACCACUCAUACUGACCUGUAAGCCUAGUAGUUGAUGCUGUUUUUUCUUGGCUGGACAACUCCACUGCAGGUGGUAAUUUCUGUACCACGUAAAUAGAAUGAAGACGUCAUCUCAUUAGUGAAUAGGCAAAGAAAUAUGAAGGAUAUAAUUUCUCUAUAGACAACGUUAAAUUGAUUAGUGAAGAAUCCAAAACAUGUCUUGACCAUCAAAUGCAAUAAAUAUUCAAUUAAUAAUUUCAUAAUACAGUUUAUAUCCUGACUCGGCUAAAAAACCUAGAUCUGAGCAUUAUAUCUGCUUGGACUGUAAAUUGGCAUGACUGUUAACACAAGAUUAUGACUGUCCUUUUCUCAUGAUUGUAAAUUCAGGUAUUUCUACCUGAAUGAUGAAUGAUAGCUUAGGUUCAAAGCGUG